AGAGUUUGAUCCUGGCUCAGGACGAACGCUGGCGGCGUGCUUAACACAUGCAAGUCGAACGGAAAGGCCCUUCGGGGUACUCGAGUGGCGAACGGGUGAGUAACACGUGGGUGAUCUGCCCUGCACUUUGGGAUAAGCCUGGGAAACUGGGUCUAAUACCGAAUAUGACCAUGCACUUCCUGGUGUGUGGUGGAAAGCUUUUGCGGUGUGGGAUGGGCCCGCGGCCUAUCAGCUUGUUGGUGGGGUAAUGGCCUACCAAGGCGACGACGGGUAGCCGGCCUGAGAGGGUGACCGGCCACACUGGGACUGAGAUACAGCCCAGACUCCUACGGGAGGCAGCAGUGGGGAAUAUUGCACAAUGGGCGCAAGCCUGAUGCAGCGACGCCGCGUGAGGGAUGACGGCCUUCGGGUUGUAAACCUCUUUCAGCACAGACGAAGCGCAAGUGACGGUAUGUGCAGAAGAAGGACCGGCCAACUACGUGCCAGCAGCCGCGGUAAUACGUAGGGUCCGAGCGUUGUCCGGAAUUACUGGGCGUAAAGAGCUCGUAGGUGGUUUGUCGCGUUGUUCGUGAAAACUCACAGCUUAACUGUGGGCGUGCGGGCGAUACGGGCAGACUUGAGUACUGCAGGGGAGACUGGAAUUCCUGGUGUAGCGGUGGAAUGCGUAGAUAUCAGGGGGAACACCGGUGACGAAGGCGGGUCUCUGGGCAGUAACUGACGCUGAGGAGCGAAAGCGUGGGGAGCGAACAGGAUUAGAUACCCCGGUAGUCC
rnacentral:rRNA from 1 species